GAUGAACGCUGGCGGCGUGCCUAAUACAUGCAAGUCGAGCGAACGGACGAGAAGCUUGCUUCUCUGAUGUUAGCGGCGGACGGGUGAGUAACACGUGGAUAACCUACCUAUAAGACUGGGAUAACUUCGGGAAACCGGAGCUAAUACCGGAUAAUAUUUUGAACCGCAUGGUUCAAAAGUGAAAGACGGUCUUGCUGUCACUUAUAGAUGGAUCCGCGCUGCAUUAGCUAGUUGGUAAGGUAACGGCUUACCAAGGCAACGAUGCAUAGCCGACCUGAGAGGGUGAUCGGCCACACUGGAACUGAGACACGGUCCAGACUCCUACGGGAGGCAGCAGUAGGGAAUCUUCCGCAAUGGGCGAAAGCCUGACGGAGCAACGCCGCGUGAGUGAUGAAGGUCUUCGGAUCGUAAAACUCUGUUAUUAGGGAAGAACAUAUGUGUAAGUAACUGUGCACAUCUUGACGGUACCUAAUCAGAAAGCCACGGCUAACUACGUGCCAGCAGCCGCGGUAAUACGUAGGUGGCAAGCGUUAUCCGGAAUUAUUGGGCGUAAAGCGCGCGUAGGCGGUUUUUUAAGUCUGAUGUGAAAGCCCACGGCUCAACCGUGGAGGGUCAUUGGAAACUGGAAAACUUGAGUGCAGAAGAGGAAAGUGGAAUUCCAUGUGUAGCGGUGAAAUGCGCAGAGAUAUGGAGGAACACCAGUGGCGAAGGCGACUUUCUGGUCUGUAACUGACGCUGAUGUGCGAAAGCGUGGGGAUCAAACAGGAUUAGAUACCCUGGUAGUCCACGCCGUAAACGAUGAGUGCUAAGUGUUAGGGGGUUUCCGCCCCUUAGUGCUGCAGCUAACGCAUUAAGCACUCCGCCUGGGGAGUACGACCGCAAGGUUGAAACUCAAAGGAAUUGACGGGGACCCGCACAAGCGGUGGAGCAUGUGGUUUAAUUCGAAGCAACGCGAAGAACCUUACCAAAUCUUGACAUCCUUUGACAACUCUAGAGAUAGAGCUUUCCCCUUCGGGGGACAAAGUGACAGGUGGUGCAUGGUUGUCGUCAGCUCGUGUCGUGAGAUGUUGGGUUAAGUCCCGCAACGAGUGCAACCCUUAAGCUUAGUUGCCAUCAUUAAGUUGGGCACUCUAAGUUGACUGCCGGUGACAAACCGGAGGAAGGUGGGGAUGACGUCAAAUCAUCAUGCCCCUUAUGAUUUGGGCUACACACGUGCUACAAUGGACAAUACAAAGGGCAGCGAAACCGUGAGGUCAAGCAAAUCCCAUAAAGUUGUUCUCAGUUCGGAUUGUAGUCUGCAACUCGACUACAUGAAGCUGGAAUCGCUAGUAAUCGUAGAUCAGCAUGCUACGGUGAAUACGUUCCCGGGUCU
rnacentral:rRNA from 1 species